UGCUGUCACAGCUGGAUGUUGUGGAUCACGCGCACACUCCUAUUUACUGCGCUCCCAACAUCUGGAUUUCAUCAUCAGAGCGCACCGCGCCCACAUUUACUCUGCUUUACUCUACACUCGGGUCUCUUUCGCAGUAAACCGGGGAAAGGAGAUGAUUAUAAUCAUGUGUUCGCUGCCGCCAGCAGCUCUGUGUCUCUUCGUGCUCCUCUUCACCGCUCUUCCGAGCCUCGUGACGGCCAACGUGGUCCAGGAGCGCGCCGCUCUUGAUGAAGAGAAAUUCCUUCGGCUCAGUUGUGGAACAUACCAAGAAAAUUAUGAUGUGAUCUGGAAAAAAGAAGGGCAAGAAGUUGCUAGCGUAAAGAAGGGAAUCAAAUCACUGCAGGAAAAUUUUGGCUUAACAGAGCGUGGAACCCUUGUGGUGUCCGAAGUGCGCAGGUCCGACGCAGGAGAAUACACCGCGAUGCUGCUUGACAGCUCGCAAAACAAAUUGUGUGAAAUGACUGUGCAGCUGAGUGUGUCAGAUUCCAGUGACCCCCCACCUGAGCCAACAAAGAAACCUGAGAAAAGCCCACCUAAAGAUCCCAAAGCACCACCCCCCCAUAAGCCAAAACCUGGACUGGCCAAACCUAGAGCUUCUGCUUCCAUCAUCACUGCAAGCAUCUCUGCUCAUGUGAUACUGUUAUUGGUGUGGAUUUUGGUGUGAAAAGGUUCCAGGCCAUGAUUUCCACACCUUGAGAAUUCCCAGGUCAGUCUCAGAGACGAGAAGGUGGAGGAGGGGAAGUGGAGGCACGGCGAAAGCGCAGAAGCUGAAAAUGGACCCAUAAUUCUUUACGAAUGCACCUGACUGUGGUAAAACUGAAGAGCGUUACUUGCCUUUUAUUUUGAAACAGCUCCUUGUGUGUUUUUUUAAAAAAUUAACAUUUUAUUUGUUAAAA